GGAUGAGCAGGCAGGGCAGGACAUAGCAGAAGAUGAAGAGGGCGAGGAUGUAGAGCGUGGCCUCCCUGCUGGAGGCCUCCCAGGUCCCGGCCUGGUGUGACAUUUGGACAUGAAACACGCUGCGUGUCUGGACACAGGGGCUGGCUGCUCGGAGCAGCCAGGACACCUCCUGAGCUGGCAGCUCCCAGGGGUGAUGGGUGCCAGGAGGACACAGAGCCGUGGUGGAAGGGAUUUCAUCUCCUCCACAGAACACCCUGCAUGCUCAAUGCUUCACAGCCCAGUGGAAAUGAUCUUCUUUACUCUCCUGUGCUUUUCAGAGUGUCUGUGUUCAGGGAUGAGUGGUUUAUAUCUCCCUGUACAGACCAAGUGACUCUGGACAUGAAAACAAUGUUCUUCAUUAAACUAAUUGGAAACAACC